rnacentral:ncRNA from 1 species
ACUUGUCCUGAACUUUCAUAAGCACGUUGCCUUUUGAUCCUUCGAUGUCGGCUCUUCCUAUCAUUGCCAAACGUUGAAUUGUUCACCCUCUAAUAGGCAACAUGAUCUGGGUUUAGACCGUCGUGAGACAGGGU